AGAGCGAACGCUGGCGGCAGGCCUAACACAUGCAAGUCGAGCGCCCGUAGCAAUACGGGAGCGGCAGACGGGAUAGUAACACGUGGGAACGCGCCCUUCGGUUCGGAAUAACUCAGGGAAACUUGAGCUAAUACCGGAUACGCCCUUACGGGGAAAGAUUUAUUGCCGAAGGAACGGCCCGCGUCCGAUUAGCUAGUUGGUGAGGUAAUGGCUCACCAAGGCGACGAUCGGUAGCUGGUCUGAGAGGAUGACCAGCAUCACUGGGACUGAGACACGGCCCAAACUCCUACGGGAGGCAGCAGUGGGGAAUAUUGGACAAUGGGCGCAAGCCUGAUCCAGCAAUGCCGCGUGUGUGAAGAAGGUCUUCGGAUUGUAAAGCACUUUCGACGGGGACGAUGAUGACGGUACCGUAGAAGAGGCCCCGCUAACUUCGUGCCAGCAGCCGC
rnacentral:rRNA from 1 species